rnacentral:rRNA from 1 species
CAGCCGCCACGGUAAUACGGAGGGGGCUAGCGUUGUUCGGAAUUACUGGGCGUAAAGCGCACGUAGGCGGCUUGGUAAGUUAGAGGUGAAAGCCUGGAGCUCAACUCCAGAAUUGCCUUUAAGACUGCCGAGCUAGCAGGUGAGAGAGGUAAGUGGAAUUCCGAGUGUAGAGGUGAAAUUCGUAGAUAUUCGGAAGAACACCAGUGGCGAAGGCGGCUUACUGGCUCAUACUGGACGCUGAGGUGCGAAAGCGUGGGGAGCAAACAGGAUUAGAGACCCCGGUAGUCCCUGUCUCUUAUAC